rnacentral:rRNA from 1 species
CUACGGGCGGCUCCAGUGAGGAAUAUUGCACAAUGGGGGGAACCCUGAUGCAGCAACGCCGCGUGGAGGAUGACGCAUUUCGGUGUGUAAACUCCUUUUAUAUGUCAAGAAAAUGACGGUAGCAUAUGAAUAAGCACCGGCUAACUCCGUGCCAGCAGCCGCGGUAAUACGGAGGGUGCAAGCGUUACUCGGAAUCACGGGGCGUAAAGGACGCGUAGGCGGGUUGGAAAGUCAGGUGUGAAAUCCUACAGCUUAACUGUAGAACUGCACUUGAAACUUCUAAUCUAGAGUAUGGGAGGGGGGGAUGGAAUUAGUGGUGUAGGGGUAAAAUCCGUAGAUAUCACUAGGAAUACCUAAAGCGAAGGCGAUCUCCUGGAACAUUACUGACGCUAAGGCGUGAAAGCGUGGGGAGCAAACAGGAUUAGAUACCCGAGUAGUC